AACGCACCUUGCGCUCCUUGGUAUUCCGAGGAGCAUGCCUGUUUGAGUGUCAUUAAAUUCUCAACUGCACCUCACUUUUUUGUGUCAGGGGCAGCUUGGAUGUGGGGGUUUUGUAGGCUUCAUUUUUUGAAGCCCACUCCUCUUAAAUAGAUCAGUGGGACCUCUAUGGGGAACUGCUUUGGUGUGAUAACUAUCGACGCCAUGGCUUGUGACCAUGAAAUUGGGUCUUGCUUUCAAAUAGUCCCAUGGGACAAAAUCUGUAUAUGAACAAUUUGACCUCAAAUCAGGUAGGACUACCCGCUGAACUUAA
rnacentral:misc_RNA from 1 species